rnacentral:rRNA from 1 species
AGUGAACGCUGGCGGUAGGCCUAACACAUGCAAGUCGAACGGCAGCACAGUAAGAGCUUGCUCUUACGGGUGGCGAGUGGCGGACGGGUGAGGAAUACAUCGGAAUCUACUUUUUCGUGGGGGAUAACGUAGGGAAACUUACGCUAAUACCGCAUACGACCUACGGGUGAAAGCAGGGGAUCUUCGGACCUUGCGCGAUUGAAUGAGCCGAUGUCGGAUUAGCUAGUUGGCUGGGUAAAGGCCCACCAAGGCGACGAUCCGUAGCUGGUCUGAGAGGAUGAUCAGCCACACUGGAACUGAGACAGGGUCCAGACUCCUACGGGAGGCAGCAGUGGGGAAUAUUGGACAAUGGGCGCAAGCCUGAUCCAGCCAUACCGAGUGGGUGAAGAAGGCCUCCGGGUUGUAAAGCCCUUUUAUUGGGAAAGAAAAGCAGCAGGUUAAUACCCCGCUGUUCUGACGGUACCCAAAGAAUAAGCACCGGCUAACUUCGUG